GACGAACGCUGGCGGCGUGCUUAACACAUGCAAGUCGGACGGAAAGGCCCCUUUGGGGGUACUCGAGUGGCGCACGGGUGAGUAACACGUGAGUAACCUGCCCUUGACUUCGGGAUAACUUCAGGAAACUGGGGCUAAUACCGGAUAGGAAUCCUUGCUGCAUGGUGGGGGUUGGAAAGCUUCGGCGGUUUUGGAUGGACUCGCGGCUUAUCAGCUUGUUGGUGGGGUAGUGGCUUACCAAGGCUUUGACGGGUAGCCGGCCUGAGAGGGCGACCGGCCACAUUGGGACUGAGAUACGGCCCAGACUCCUACGGGAGGCAGCAGUGGGGAAUAUUGCACAAUGGGCGGAAGCCUGAUGCAGCAACGCCGCGUGCGGGAUGACGGCCUUCGGGUUGUAAACCGCUUUCAGCAGGGGCGAAGCUUGUGGUGACGGUACCUGCAGAAGAAGCACCGGCUAACUACGUG
rnacentral:rRNA from 1 species